CCUGCUAGAGCUGUCGAAUUCAUCAUCGACUUGAAACCAGGCACCACUCCUAUAGCCAAGCGACCCUACAAAAUGCCGCCGCAUGAACUCCUUGAGCUUAAGGAGGAAAUCGACAAGUCUCUUCGCAAAGGAUUCAUUCGCCCAAGUUGCUCUCCUUGGGGAGCACCUUCUCUCUUUGUCAAGAAGAAGGAUGGGACAAACCGGUUAGUUCAAGACUACCGUCCUAUAAACCAAGCUACCAUUCAGAAUAAAUACCCUCUUCCUCGGAUCAAUGAUCUGUAUGAUCAACUGGCGGGUUCGUCAGUGUUCUCUAAGCUCGACUUGAGGUUGGGCUACCACCAGAUCCGUGUUCGCGAAGAGGAUAUCCCAAAGACCGCCUUCGUGACUCGCUAUGGUUCAUACGAGUACACCGUCAUGUCUUUCGGUUUAACCAAUGCUCCAGCCACCUUCUCUCGUAUGAUGAACUACAUAUUCAUGGAUUACCUCGACAAGUUCGUCGUGGUUUAUCUGGAUGAUAUCCUGAUAUUUUCCAAGAACGAAGAAGAACAUGCUGAACAUCUUCGUCUUGUGGUGGAAAAGCUACGAGAACAUCAACUAUAUGCCAAGUUCUCUAAAUGUGAAUUUUGGCUACCCGAAGUAACCUAUCUCGGGCAUGUCAUCUCUAAGGAUGGUAUUGCCGUCAACCCCGAGCGAGUUCAGGCUAUUCUUGAUUGGACUCCUCCCAAGAACGUUAAGCAAGUCAGAAGUUUUCUCGGUCUCGCCAGCUAUUGCCGUCGAUUCGUCGAGAACUUCUCUAAGAUCGCCAGGCCUCUGACUAACCUGUUGCAUAAGGGCGUCAAGUUCCAAUGGACAGACAAAUGUCAGGAAAGUUUCCAAGCACUCAAAGACAAGUUGACUUCUGCUCCA
rnacentral:rRNA from 1 species